rnacentral:tRNA from 1 species
CAUUAGAUGACUGAAAGUAAGUAAUGGUCUCUUAAACCAAAUAAUAGUAAUUAACAUAUACUUCUAAUGA